GCAACGAAAGUACAGCUAGGCAAAUUUUUGCAAAUUUGGAUACGAUAUAUGAAAGAAAGUUUAGCAACGCAGUUGGCUGUACGAAAAAAACUACUCUCAUUAAAAUUCAAAAGUGAAUCACAGCUAUUGAUUCAUUUCAAUGUUUUUGAUGAUUUGAUAACUGAACAGUUAGCUUCGGGAGCUAAGAUCGACGAGAUGGAUAAAGUAUCACAUUUGUUACUUACUUUACCAUCGUCUUAUGAUGGUGUUAUAACCGCGAUUGAAACGUUAUCUGAGGUAUAUUAACAUUGGCAUUUGUGAAAAAUCGAUAACUUGAUCAUGAAAAAAAACUUAGAAGUGCUGAUAGAGACACAAGUGUAAAAGUUCUACAAGCCGUAGGGAGCAUUUCACAAAACGUUCACAAAAUAACAACAUAUAAUUUUAAAAAUAAGUACAAGCAAAAAUAUUUCAAAAGUAAUUUUAAAAAGAAGUUAAAAUGUCAUCAUUGUGGAAAAUGUGGAAAAAUAGGUCACAUUAAAAAGGACUGUUACAGCAAGACAGGGGAUUUGCGUUCAUGACGGGACGCGGUGUAGCGAGACGAAAGGAUAACACUGUAUCAUUUGUUUUAUAUUCUGGGGCUUCUGACCACUUGAUAAACGGGGACAGCAUGUUUAUUGAGUAUAUUGAAUUGGAUCCGCCAGUGGAAAUCGCAGUAGCAAAGUGCGGUGAAUACAUGUACGCAACAAAGAAAGGCAUAGUGAGACUACACAACAAUUUACAAAAUCCGAUCACUCUAGAGAAUGUUUUAUUUUGCCGUGAUAUACCGGAAAACUUACUUUCUGUUAGAAAGAUGCGAAACCCUGAUAUGACCAUCGUAUUUCAUAAAGAAGGUGUCAAAGUAUCUAAAAAUGGUGAAGUAAAUAAUUCUUGGAAACAAAAAUAAACAGUUACCUGAUAUUUUGACGAAACCAUUACCUGCAGACCGAUUCCUAAAACUGAGAUGUCAAAUGGGACUGGUAGAAGAGAAAAAUUGAAUAUAACAUAAAACUAAUUAUUUAAAUGUAUAUCUUAAUCAUAAGUAAUUGUAGUCUGAUUGGGUUUUUCUGGGUUUUUCCCAAUCCUUGCAAUGUUGGACUAUGUAAUUGUAAUUUCCCAGAGUGCACAACUCGUCAUAUAAAAAUAUGAAAUAAUUUUACUUUAUUUUAUAAUUUUCUUUUUAGUGUAAAUUUUGAGGAGGCGUAUUAGAUUUGCAGUUCCUUUUUAAUUACAUCACUGCUAUUUAAUAUUGUCUUGCGGUAUUUUUAUUGAAUUUUGUUUUUUUAAUUGAAAUUGAAAUGAAUUUUUGAUGACUCAUGCCCAGCUCUUGACCGAUGCUAUGGCUGCUACUAUGCCGGUCUCUUUCGACCAAUUCAGCGAUUUUAUCGCAAUUUUCGACGACAGGCCUUCCGGAGCGUGGCGCAUCUUCGACCACCUCUACACCAGACCGAAAACGUUGAAACCAUAGUUGUGCGGUGGAAAUGGAAACUGUAUCGGGUCCAUAAACUGUUCACAUUUUAUUGGCGGCUUGAGAUGCAUUUUUGCCUUUAUCGUAGUAGUACUGUAAGAUAUGCCUUAUUUUCUCUUCAUUUUGCUCCAUGUUUGCGACGCUAUAACUCACGAACGACUUAAAAGAAACGGCAAUCAAUCAAACACGUGUUAACGCGUGAAAUGAGCUUUCCAAAAAGGUAUAGCAUGACCCGAUGCGACGAAUAAAACUAGAACUACGCGCUUUCAGCGCCAACUAGCGAAAAUACGGCAAGACUUUUUUGACAACCUAUUAUUUCAUAAAAAAUGUAUUUAGCUAAGUUAGUAGGACUUUCCUUAAUAACUUUGCUAAACAUGACCGCGAUCUGUCAACCUAUUUGUUUACAGCAGCUACUUAAGUCGGUACACCUGAGUAGUGGGUUGUGAUUUUUACAAUGAAUAAAAAUUCAAACAAAGAAUUUGUCUCAAAUUUUGUAUUUAUAACCAAGUUUCUUGUGCAGAAGCAUUGCGAAUAUUGGAAAAAACUUGCGCUGAUGAAUAUAUUAAAAAAGUGACGGAUAUGGUGCUUGAAAAUUGUUAUGCAAAUAUUAAAGAGAUGGCAAAGGAGCUCGACAUCUCUCGCGAAUCCAUUCAAAUGAUUUUAGUGGAUAUUUAGGGGAUGUAAUGCGUUCUUGCUCAACUCGUCCCGAUAAAGCUUAAUUUUUUUUUUCAAGACUAAAA